GGGUUAGUAGGUUGUUCAUGCCUCUGGUAUGUACUGGUCUCACUGAUUCCUCCUUCCUGAUGAGCCGUAAUGCCAUUAAUUUGGUGUUGCGAGGAAUCUGGACUGUUACUUUGAAAAAAUUAGAGUGUUUAAAGCAGGCUCGCGCUUGAAUACAUUAGCAUGGAAUAAUGAAAUAGGACGUUUGACCCUAUUUUGUUGGUUUCUAGGAUCGACGUA
rnacentral:rRNA from 1 species